rnacentral:rRNA from 1 species
GCCUUUACUGACGCUAAAGCUCGAAGGUGCGGGUAUCGAACAGGAUUAGAUACCCUGGUAGUCCGCACGGUAAACGAUGGAUGCCCGCUGUUUGCGAUAUACUGUGAGCGGCCAAGAGAAAUCGUUAAGCAUCCCACCUGGGGAGUACGCCGGCAACGGUGAAACUCGAAGGAAUUGACGGGGGCCCGCACAAGCGGAGGAACAUGUGGUUUAAUUCGAUGAUACGCGAGGAACCUUACCCGGGCUUGAACUGCAGGAGAAGGAAGCAGAGAUGCUGACGCCCCUCGGGGCUCCUGUGGAGGUGCUGCAUGGUUGUCGUCAGCUCGUGCCGUGAGGUGUCGGCUUAAGUGCCAUAACGAGCGCAACCCUUUCCGUCAGUUGCCAUCACGUGAUGGUGGGCACUCUGUCGGUACUGCCACCGUAAGGUGUGAGGAAGGUGGGGAUGACGUCAAAUCAGCACGGCCCUUACGUCCGGGGCUACACACGUGUUACAAUGGCGCGUACAGAAAGCAGGUGUGCCGCAAGGCGCAUCGAAUCCUGAAAGCGCGCCGUAGUUCGGAUUGGGGUCUGCAACCCGACCCCAUGAAGCUGGAUUCGCUA